rnacentral:rRNA from 1 species
GUGCGAAGGUAGCGUAAUCACUUGUCUUUUAAUUGAAGGCCCGUAUGAAAGGCAUCACGAGAGUUUAUCUGUCUUUACUUUCUAAUCAAUGAAAUUGAUCCUCUCGUGCAGAAGCGAGAAUAAACACAUAAGACGAGAAGACCCUAUGGAGCUUCAAACACUUAAGUUAUUUUUAAAUAUCAAAAACUUCCCGACCCUCGGGUAUAAAAUACAAAAUAACUUUCUAACUUAAACUUGUUUUUGGUUGGGGCGACCGAGGGGAAAAACAAAACCCCCUUAUCGAGUGGGUGAGAAAUCACUCAAAAUUAGAACUACAGUUCUAAUUAAUAGAAAAUCUAACGAAUAAUGACCCAGGAAACCAUAUCCUGAUCAAUGAACCAAGUUACCCUAGGGAUAACAGCGCAAUCCUUUCUUAGAGCCCCCAUCGCCGAAAGGGUUUACGACCU